rnacentral:rRNA from 1 species
CAGUCGCCGCGGGAAUACGUAGGGGGCAAGCGUUAUCCGGAUUUACUGGGUGUAAAGGGAGCGUAGACGGAAUGGCAAGUCUGAAGUGAAAUGCCCGGGCUCAACCCGGGAACUGCUUUGGAAACUGUCGAUCUGGAGUGUUGGAGAGGUAAGUGGAAUUCCUGGUGUAGCGGUGAAAUGCGUAGAGAUCAGGAAGAACACCGGAGGCGAAGGCGGCUUACUGGACAAAGACUGACGUUGAGGCUCGAAAGCGUGGGAAGCAAACAGGAUUAGAUACCCCAGUAGUCCCUGUCUCUUAUAC